rnacentral:rRNA from 1 species
GAUGAACGCUGGCGGCGUGCCUAACACAUGCAAGUCGAGCGAGAAGCCAUAAAAGGACACUUCGGUAGAAUUAUAUGGCGGAAAGCGGCGGACGGGUGAGUAACGCGUGGGAAACCUGCCUUUCACAGAGGGAUAGCCGAAGGAAACUACGAUUAAUACCUCAUAAAGCAAAAGCUUCGCAUGGAGCGAUUGCCAAAGAAUAAUCGGUGAAAGAUGGUCCCGCGUCUGAUUAGUUAGUUGGUAAGGUAGCGGCUUACCAAGGCGACGAUCAGUAGCCGGCCUGAGAGGGUGAACGGCCACAUUGGAACUGAGACACGGUCCAGACUCCUACGGGAGGCAGCAGUGGGGGAUAUUGCACAAUGGGCGAAAGCCUGAUGCAGCAACGCCGCGUGAAGGAAGAAGGCUUUCGAGUCGUAAACUUCUGUCCAAAGGGAAGAAAAGAUGACGGUACCUUUGAAGAAAGCCCCGGUAA